GGAGUUAGCCGGUGCUUCUUCUGUGAGUGAUGUCCUUCCUGCCGGCUAUUAACCCGCAGGCCUUCUUCCUCACUGAAAGUGCUUUACAACCCGAAGGCCUUCUUCACACACGCGGCAUGGCUGGAUCAGGGUUGCCCCCAUUGUCCAAUAUUCCCCACUGCUGCCUCCCGUAGGAGUCUGGGCCGUGUCUCAGUCCCAGUGUGGCUGAUCAUCCUCUCAGACCAGCUACGGAUCGUCGCCUUGGUGAGCCGUUACCUCACCAACCAGCUAAUCCGACAUAGGCUCAUCCGAUAGCGCGAGGCCCGAAGGUCCCCCGCUUUCCCCCGUAGGGCGUAUGCGGUAUUAGCCUGGGUUUCCCCAGGUUAUCCCCCACUACCGGGCAGAUUCCUAUGCAUUACUCACCCGUCCGCCGCUCGCCACCAGGGAGCAAGCUCCCCGUGCUGCCGCUCGACUUGCACUGUGUUAGGCCUGCCGCCAGCGUUCAAUCUGAGCCAGGAUCGAAACUCUGA
rnacentral:rRNA from 1 species